rnacentral:rRNA from 1 species
AGACCCGAAACCCGGUGAUCUAGCCAUGGGCAGGUUGAAGGUUGGGUAACACUAACUGGAGGACCGAACCGACUAAUGUUGAAAAAUUAGCGGAUGACUUGUGGCUGGGGGUGAAAGGCCAAUCAAACCGGGAGAUAGCUGGUUCUCCCCGAAAGCUAUUUAGGUAGCGCCUCGUGAAUUCAUCUCCGGGGGUAGAGCACUGUUUCGGCAAGGGGGUCAUCCCGACUUACCAACCCGAUGCAAACUGCGAAUACCGGAGAAUGUUAUCACGGGAGACACACGGCGGGUGCUAACGUCCGUCGUGAAGAGGGAAACAACCCAGACCGCCAGCUAAGGUCCCAAAGUCAUGGUUAAGUGGGAAACGAUGUGGGAAGGCCCAGACAGCCAGGAUGUUGGCUUAGAAGCAGCCAUCAUUUAAAGAAAGCGUAAUAGCUCACUGGUCGAGUCGGCCUGCGCGGAAGAUGUAACGGGGCUAAACAAUGCACCGAAGCUGCGGCAGCGACACUGUGUGUUGUUGGGUAGGGGAGCGUUCUGUAAGCCUGUGAAGGUGUACU